CCCUGGGUGGUGCAAAUGGUGAACACAUUUGGCUACUAACCAAAAGGUUGUGGGUUUGAGUCCACCCAGAGGC
rnacentral:tRNA from 1 species